GAAGAAUUCCUGUUGACUGGUUGAUAAUGUAGUAUGACUGACAGGACAACUUCUAUCUACUGGAAUUUUAGUAAACACAAGGUCACAUUGUAAUGACCGACCCAGUCGUCCGGACCGGCAACUACACCGCCAAGACCUAUGCCCUGGCAUUAGACUUAGACAAGCUGCACUUCUUCCAAUUACUUCCCCAAUCGGCGAUCAAACAGGCAAAAAGGCAAACAGUAGAAAAGACGAAGUGCCGCCACCAUAAUCCUGCCCGGACAACCAAAAGAACAACACUUCCGGGUUCCAUUCUUCCCUCUGGUCCCCCACUGAUGACGUCCACUACCCAUCCACCACCAUGCCUUCCCAGCAUUCCACGUUGCUGAUUUCGGGUCUGGCUCUUUAA